CGGGUAUCAUUAGGGGUCGGGCGCGGGGCUUUUUAACGAGCCAGCUCACAGCAUCCCUCCAUCCUCGGUGGCGCCUACUGGCAUGAGGCCCUAAGGUUCUGGCUCUCCUAGCAGGGGGUCCUCGCCUGUUCCAUCACCGCCGAACGCAGGGGGGAGCUGAGGGUGGAGAUUUAUUCUCUCUCACUACCUGUGGAGACACAUUUGCACAGAAAUCUGCACAGGCUUAAAAGAAAGAAAAAAAAAAAACCUCACUUUUAUACACACAGCCUCAGGGGGAAAUGUUUACCACAUGCUCUCCCUUUUUUCUCCCGUCAGAGGUAUAAUUGACUCUGCCCGACACAUAAACAUGGCGGUAAUGACCCCGGCCUGCUCUUGAAGUCGGAGGAGAAGCACACAGCUGCGCGAGGUACAGGGAAAAGUCUUAGAGGAGUGGCGCCCGCUGUUUUCCUCUGCCAUCACCGUAAGAGGCUGACCAGGAAACGCUUCCUCACAGGCGUGGCGUGUGGAGGAGAGACUUAUCUUAUUUGAAUGCAUCAGUUAACGGCGGGACGUGGAAGAUUAGAAUCACAAGGCUGAGAGGUCGCCUGAGAUAGUUUCGUCAGCGACGGCGGCAAAAAGAAUAAAAGCAACAGAGGUUCAUCGAAAGCAAAGCGAGAUACAAGGUAGAAAACAAACAGACACGUAAAAGGUGUCAUGCUUGAAUAAAAUGUGACGCUGACUUCAAACAGCAACUCUGAUGAGAAAAAAAUAUCAGGCAAAAUCUUUCUCACUUGUUUCUUCUCUACCUUUGCUGCUCUUGAACCAAAGAAAACAAGAACAAAUGGAUAAAACACAAACUUUAGUCGUGCCCUAGUUCAGGUGGUGCAGCCCUCAAAGGACUGGGUCAGACCAAAGUGAAUUAACCCUAAAACACUAUCGCUGAAAUCGGUAACACCAUCACUAUCGCCGGGUGAUUUUUACCUGAUAUAAUAUACCCAAGAAAAAGUACCUGUCAUCAAAAUAUAUCAAAAUAGGACAAUACAUGAGUUUCUAUUCCAUCCAUUCCUGGGGCAUGUGAGUCUUCCCUGGUGAAGACUCAGGGUCCUUGGCACAAUAACAGCUGCAGGAGAGAGAAUCACCCGGCGAUAGUGUUCCAGGGUUAAGAUGGUCUUCACUUGGAGGAUUGCAUGCUUACAAUUGCGUCAUUUAGUGUUGCCAUUGUAGCUUAACAACAGGUGGCUACCUAGCUAAGCAGCUAGUAUAGCUAGCGUCAUGUAUAGGACCCUAUAUGUACUGUUGAUGAAGUUAGGUGCUGUUCUGAGCAUUAUUUGUGGCUAUAAAGUGGCGUUUUGGUUGAGGUUUGUUUAUGGCUCCUCAGACCGCUGUGAAUUGCUAUCUUGCGGUCCUUACUAAAGUUGGUAUAACUAGAGAAGCAAGCGGUCGGCAACAUUCAUCUGUUGAGGGGGUGUCUAACUCGGUGUUACGGUGUGUUUGACCCUAAAUUAAUUAUAUGCCGGAAUAUCCCUUUAAGACAGUCUUCGCUUGGAGGACUGCAUGUUUACAAAGCUAACCUCAUAACGGCAUCAAGCAGAGUCACCAUUGUAGCUUAACAACAGGUGGCUACCUAGCUAAGCAGCUAGUAUAGCUAGCGUCAUGUGGCCUAAACACCAUUACGAACUUUUUUAAGAUAAUUUCAAAUUUCAACAAAUCUGUUUUUUUCGUCAUUUGUACAACACACUAUCGAGUUAAAACCAAAUAUUAUCACUUGACAGUUUGAGAGUCCACUUUUAUGACUGAAAACUGAUGCUUUAGUUUGUAGAAAUGAAGCUCUGUGGUUUCUUCGUCUGAGUGAUCUGUUUAUUUGUCAUAUUUUCAAAAACACUUAAAGGAAAACCAAAAAAUCUUUUUGUAAGCGCUGCUGCCUGUAUCAUCCUCUCUCCUGUUUUGUGCAGGAACCUUAUCUGUCUCUGGGACCUCAGUCUGAGAUCCAUAACACCCAAAGAACCAGUCGAAAGAGACUAAAUCGCUUUUAACGCUGAGGAACUACUGACUCGGCUGCUCAUUAUCUAUUGGUUGAAACAGAGUGGCUCCUUGUGCGUUAAAUCUCGUCACCUGACAUGAUGUUCGAUAUUAAUAUUGAUCUGAGACGUGGUAACAAGCGUUUUAGGAGUAAGCUGAACUGACUGUAAAGGUUUUAAGAUUUAACCUUCCCAUUUCCCUGACCUAUUAUUUCUCUCUAUACUCUGUUUGUCCAGUGGAACAGAUUUGCAGCCAUCUUUUUUGACCUGUAAAAGACCUCGUAAACUUUAAAAGGUUGCCUCAGUAAGUCAUUGUAACAAAGUGUGCAUUAUCCUCUGCAGUGCUGACACCAGUAGUGCCAAAGCUGGCCAGAUAAAACACUAUAAAAAAGUGACUGCUGGAGAUGAGAGUGGGAGUUCACGUCCGAAUGGAUGUCAGCUUGAUCUACACUGAAUCAACACACAGCCAAGACUGAUAAGGAGGCUUAGCUGGUGAAGAGAUCCUCCUGGUGCCGCUCACACGUGUGCACAGUUUUGUGAAGAUACGGCGGCGGCGGCUAACGUGACGGGCACAGAUACUGACACAUAUAGAGAUAAUGAUACACAGAGACACAUGGAGAUAGAGAAGAGAGGGGGGAUCGUUGGCAAAACAAGCAACAUCAAUCGCUUCGAAAGGUUUCCGUAUCAGUCAGGUUGAUGGAAUCAGUGAGAAAGAAAGAAAGAAAGAACGAAGGGGGAAGAUGUGAGAGGAAGAGAGGGUGGGAUUUAGAUGAAAGAGCCGAAAGAAAGAGGCGAACAGAUCAAACAGCAAAGUUGAGGAAUAAAAGUGAAAAAACAAAACAAAACAGGGGAAGGGGUGCUGUUUAAGGCAAGAACAGCUUUGACACAAACCACAAGAAGCGAACAACAAGUAUUGAAAAAUCAAACACGAUGAGGGAAGGAAGGAAGAUAAGAUGCAAGAGGAGACGAGGAGUGAAAAAGAGAUGCAAUGGGAUUUUUUUUUAGUCAGCAACAAAAAAUUACUGAAUUUGGGAAUCUCUGGGAUAUCUGUGUCCACAAAACCCCCCACCCACCCCAUAAUAUUACGGUCUGGAAUCUGCCUCGACUAUGUUAAAAGAAUAAAAGUUUUGCCAUGGCUUUUUGAAACGCUAUAAAUAUGAGCAAUCCGUCCAGGGUACUUUGCCUUUAAAUUAUGGCCCCGCCCCCUUUUGGGUGUAGCCAAAAAUGACUGGAAGUUUGGGGUGUAGUAUAGUGGUAAACAUGAAGACUAUAAAUGAGAUGCAGAUAGGAAAUUGCUGUACAUAAAAACAAAAUAAAUAAAUAUAAAAAUGUUAAAUAUUUCAAUGAUAUAAACAAUGGAAAAAAGACGCUUUAAAGAUGUUACAAAUGAGAAAAAUAUAGGUAAAUAAAAUAAAUAAAAAUAUAAAUUUUAAAUAUUUCAGUAACAAAAAUGUUAAAAAAAAAACUGACACUAAAAGAUGUUACAAGUGAGAAAAAUAUAGGUAAAUUUUCUUGAACAAAAUAAAUAAAACCAAGACAUUCUAAAAUAUAAUUAACUAUGCAUUUUUUUAAGUUAUUCCUUAAUUUUUACACAUUUUAUCAAACUCAAAACUCUUUUCUACAUUUGUCCUUUCUAAUUUUUAUUUAUUUAUUCGUAUUUGUUCACAGCGGUUUUCUUAUUUUGGCAUGGUGUGUGUAAGGGGGGCUCACUCUUGCCCAGGGCCCCAGAAUAUCUAGAACUGGCCCUGUUCUAAACAUUAUUUUUGCAGUUUUAAAACCUUGAUCACAGAAUUUUGUUCAUUUAAAUUCAUAGUUUGUUGUGUUUUCUUUCAAUCCUAAUUGUGAAUGAUUUAUUGAGGUCAUUUCUGUUAGAAAGGAAAAAACAGAAUAAGUGUUUCUUUUGUACGCAUUGACCCCAACCAGAACAUCUAUAAGCAAAACAUGGAGGAGCUUUAGCACCAAAGAAAACUCUUUCUCUGACUUUUCCCCUCUGACUAUAAAACAUGAAGGCAAACAGAUUCGAUACCCCUCGCUGCUCUGUGUGAUAAAGUAACACACACAGACACACACACACACUAACAAAUGCUCGCUGUGUGUGGCCUGAACCCUCCUAUCUGAGUACCAGUGCUCAUCCUGACACUCCAAAAAGGCUCAGCGUGCGCUCUGUCUGAGAUGUUUAAUUCAUGCAGCCGCUUGCUGGAGCUCAACGUGAACGUGUGACCGAGGAGGUUGCACCCAGAAGAGAAAGAGGCCGUGCAAAUAAAGAAAUAAGAGAUGCUGGUUAAACCGAUGGCGAAAAAAAAAAGCUAAAGUUAUAGAAAUAGCUGAAAACUGGAGGAAUGAAGUGAUAGCAGAGAAUAAGGAGAGAAAACAGAUUAAAUGACAGAGAGCUCAUGUUUGAAGCUCCGAUUCUGGCUCACAAAAUGAGUGAUGGAGAGAAUCAGAGCAGCAAAACUGAAGAAGAGAGAAGAGAGAAAGACUAAAGUGAGAAAACAGGAGCGGGGAAAUCUCACAGACACACACAGAGACUAAAAGAAAACAGUGGAGAUCUUGUCCAGGCAGGAGGUGGGAGCCUGCAGUGCUGAGGUUUGUGUGUUGCAGGUCUCAGGAGAGGCGGCAGGGGACUGAGUGCUAGCGAUUUUCUGUCAUAUCUUACUUUCUCUUCAUCCCUCACACUGGUUAGCCCUCCUCCUCCUCUCCCUCCUCCUCCUCUCCCGUCUUCACUGCACCCUUACUGCUGCAGCAUGUGGAGCAGGAGCACCACAGGGUGUGUAGAGUUGGUGGGCCUCCAUUUUCAAAGCAUUUAAAGAUGAGUUUAAUUGAGGGCUUAAUUCAUGAAUUUUCAGGAUUCAUUUUUUUCUAAUGCAACUUGAUCUUUUCUGAUUCUAACAAAGUUUCCUCAAAGUUUUGUCUUUUUGUUUCUCUACAAAAUAAAAGUCAAUCAACUUUUAAAUGAAGUAUUUUAUGUUUAUUUCCUGGAUUGCCUUGAUUUACUCACCAGAUCAGCGGUGACCCUCUCAUGUCUGUUUGAUAUAAAGCUGGAGCUCAUGUGUUGUUGACUUAGUAUGAAGCCUGGUGACAGGAAGAAAGAGCUGACUUGGCAGAAGGUGAAACAUAAUCUGCAGGUCAGCACCGUCUAAUCGAACUUAGUAGAGUGGUUUAUCAUUUUAUUGUCCAAGCCGCUGAGAGGAGUUUUUCACCAAAGAAGACUGAUAUCGGUUAUGAUGCUUCAACACGACCUCCGAAGAAAAUCAGCAUCUAGAUGGAUUAUUUCUAUGUCUUCAGCAUUCACGCUAUUCAUCUUCUGGCUCAAACCUGAGCAUGCAGACACUGGAGUAUGUGCAGAACGGACUCUCUUCUAUUGCUACACGUGGUUUCUGCAAAGUUUGCAUCCAUCUAUAGGGGAAUGUUGCAUUGGAAAUGAGAAGUUUCAAUUAUAUAUUUGCAAAUCUGAAAGUGAAAUUUAGCCUUUUUUGGUUAUGAAAGAAAGAAAGUGUAAGUCACUGAAAUGAUGCAGAGACAAAAACUCAAUGGAAACAUACCUUUUCAGAAAAUUAAGUAAAAUGUUAAAGGGAUAUUCCGGCGUAAAAUUAAGUUAGGGUCAAACACACCGCAACACCCUUUUGAGAGAUGAAUGUUGCCGACCGCUUGCUUCUCUAGUUAAACCAACUUUAGUAACGACCGCACGAUAGCAAUACACAGCGGUCUGAGGAGCCAUAAACAAACCUCAACCAAAACACCACUCUA